CAUAUGUUGGCUUAGUCGGUAGAGCAUGAGACUCUUAAUCUCAGGGUUAUGAGUUUCAGAACCAUAUUGGGGAAAUGA